ACCUCGGGGGUUUCCUGCUUUAUGGCGAAGGGCCAGGGCCCCACACACAUUCUGCCUGACAGCCAGCCAAGCUCUUCAGUCCCCCGCCCUCCACCUGCCAGGGAGGCUUGGGGCGUUAUACCUGCCACCACGGGACACAUAUACUCAUAGAAAUGAGUUAUUUAAAGAAGACGGUCCAGAUUCCACAGUCCAAAAAAAAAAAAAAAAAGAGGUUUGCCCUGCUUCUGAAGGAGUCAGGAUACGAAUGCAGAGGUCUUCCUGUUGGCUCACGUAUCAGACCUUCAACGUCAACAUUAAAUGUGAGUGAUGCUCUCCACUCUGUGAAUGUGGCUUUGGGUAUGGCUAAUCCACACCCUGCACUCUGGCCUUCAGAAGCCCAGGGAGAGAAGCCUCCCAGAAGCAACCUUCCAGAACCUUCUCCAUACUCCCACCGACCUCCCCAGCCCCUGUCUUCUCUUUGAAUCUCGUUGUCAAGUUCUUUCCUGGCUCCUUGAGGGGAGGUGCAGCUUUCAUCUGACCAUGCAGGCGUGCUUUGCAGUGGGUAGAGCAGUGCUUUCCUCCUCCCAGCUGCACACUGGAAUCACCUGGAGAGUCCAGAAACUUCCCGCCUCAGUGAAAGAACAUCAGUGUAUCAGCACAGCAAAGAUUCCAAAUGCCAGGCUGGAUUGCCUCCAAUUACCAGGACCUCCAGGCUUCUCCUCCUUUCAAGAACUUUCUGAUCCUGGAUCCAGUCUAAAUGUUGGUUAUAAACUCACCUGACAUCCACAGGGCCCUUCCAAAGUACUGUCAAGGCUGACUGCUGGUGCCUGGAACCUGCACACCCUCCUGGGACUCUGCAUCUCUGCUGGGGCUGGUUUCUCCUCUGAGCCACCUUAAGGAAUCCCACCCUGACCCGGUCACAGCUCAGCAUGCCUCCCUCUACUACUUGCUCAGCAUUUUGUGUCUAUCUAGACUGAAGCCUUUGCUUUCUCUCUGUGAUUGUGGUGAAAGUUCAGUUUGCUUUCCUCUCUCUAGAAUGUCAGCACGAAGGCAGAGGCAUGGUCUCCUGAGUUCCAUAACCCCAAAGCCUAACUCCCUGCCUGCCACACUGAGGGGCUCAGUAGACAUUGACUUACUAAAUUGAAUAGUUGAGUAAUAAUGCUCUUUGAAAUAAUUUGGAGUUAGAUCUUGAGCCUUGUGCGGCCAGGGGAUGCAUGAGGGCACAUCAUAAAAACUGAAGGUAACUGAGCAUGCCAGCGGUUGGGGUGAGAAAUUUGCAUGGAGCACUCCAGACACAGAGGCAGCAAAACCCAAGUGCUGGGGAGUCAGAGUGAGAGAGUGAAGGGGCACUGAGUGCCUCUUUAGGAGCUGGAUCAAAACCUGAGAUGAUCUGGCCACAUGGUGCAGACUGAGCACGCACUUGGGAGAGAAAUGGGCCGGGAGGAGAGGAGAGAGGUUCACCACAGGACAGUGGAUGGCUGGGAAUAGAAGCCCUCCCCAUGGUGGAGUAUCAGUCUGUGAAGCUGAGAGCAAGACAAAAGAAAUCAUGACUUCUGUGGGUAGCUGGGAUGGAAACCUCAGGGGUGACAGGGUCUUUAAAGGAAAUCUCAAGGAGGGCAUCAUGUUCCGGGUGUGUUCCAGGGAUGCUGAGUAAGAAAAGACCACCUUUUCUGUAUGUGUCUUUACUCUGCCACAAGGCACCUGGGCUCCUAAAUGACCAACACACAUGUGCUAUACUGGUGCCAGGAAAGAAGGGUGUUUUGUAGGAAAGUCAAGGUGAGAGGAGGUGCCCAGGACUUGGCUCCUUUCUUUGAAGGGUGAUGGUGUAAAUUCUCCAUGCUGGGGAUACUACUGAUGGAUGGAGGCGUGUCGAUCUCAUCAUUUCACAGAGUGGGGAGCUAUGGCCACGACGUGCCUAUCACACAAGUCCAGCCUCACGUCAGCUGGACACCAGCUGUUCUGACACUUGUCAGCACAUGGGGCACCCGGAAGUUCACGGUGUUCUGCAAAGAACGCCACAAAACAGUGAGCUCAACUUCUUGAAAAUCAUAAUGUGUAGCUAAGUCCAAUCCCAGAUCCUAAAAAUAAUAUGAGGUAUAGUGGCCAUUGAACAGAAAAAAUUUACAUCUUAAACUUGAAGAUAAGUACAAGUGUACCUUUUUCUACCACUGUUGUUCAGUUUUAUUACAUUGAUGAGCACCUCUGCCCACCCUAUGGGGUAACACUGUUUGAGAAUCACUGAUUUAUGAAAGUUAUAUAAAUAUUGGCUGAUCAAAUGUACAAAAUUUGCAUGAUGGCACCAUAUUGUGUAUAAUAGUGACAAAUACAGUUCAUGUGGGUGGAG
rnacentral:antisense_RNA from 1 species